rnacentral:rRNA from 1 species
GACGAACCGUGCGAACGUUGUUCGGAAUUACUGGGCGUAAAGGGCUCGUAGGCGGCCAACUAAGUCAGACGUGAAAUCCCUCGGCUUAACCGGGGAACUGCGUCUGAUACUGGAUGGCUUGAGGUUGGGAGAGGGAUGCGGAAUUCCAGGUGUAGAGGUGAAAUUCGUAGAUAUCGGGAGGAACACCAGUGGCGAAGGCGGCGAUCUGGGAAGAUACUGACGCUGAGGUGCGAAAGCGUGGGGAGCAAACAGG